rnacentral:rRNA from 1 species
AUACGUAGGUGGCAAGCGUUAUCCGGAAUUAUUGGGCGUAAAGAGGGAGCAGGCGGCAGCAAGGGUCUGUGGUGAAAGCCUGAAGCUUAACUUCAGUAAGCCAUAGAAACCAGGCAGCUAGAGUGCAGGAGAGGAUCGUGGAAUUCCAUGUGUAGCGGUGAAAUGCGUAGAUAUAUGGAGGAACACCAGUGGCGAAGGCGACGAUCUGGCCUGCAACUGACGCUCAGUCCCGAAAGCGUGGGGAGCAAAGAGGAUUAGAUACCCUAGUAGUCCACGCCGUAAACGAUGAGUACUAAGUGUUGGAUGUCAAAGUUCAGUGCUGCAGUUAACGCAAUAAGUACUCCGCCUGAGUAGUACGUUCGCAAGAAUGAAACUCAAAUGAAUUGACGGGG